rnacentral:rRNA from 1 species
UGGGGAAUAUUGGACAAUGGGCGAAAGCCUGAUCCAGCCAUGCCGCGUGUGUGAAGAAGGUCUUCGGAUUGUAAAGCACUUUAAGCUGGGAGGAAGGGCAGUAAGCGAAUACCUUGCUGUUUUGACGUUACCGACAGAAUAAGCACCGGCUAACCCUGUGCCAGCAGCCGCGGUAAUACAGAGGGUGCAAGCGUUAAUCGGAAUUACUGGGCGUAAAGCGCGCGUAGGUGGUUCGUUAAGUUGAAUGUGAAAGCCCCGGGCACAGCCUGGGAACUGCAUCCAAAACUGGCGAGCUAGAGUAGGGGAGAGUGUGGUGGAGUUUCCUGUGUAGCGGUGGGAUGCGUAGAUAUAGGAAGGAAGACCAAUGGCGAAGGCGACCACCUGGGAUCAUGCUGCCACUGAGGUGCGAAAGCGUGUGGAGCAAACAGG